AAGACCUUGCACUUUUGGAGCGGCCGAUGUCUGAUUAGCUAGUUGGUGGGGUAAUGGCCUACCAAAGCUUCGAUCAGUAGCUGGUCUGAGAGGACGGCCAGCCACACUGGGACUGAGACACGGCCCAGACUCCUACGGGAGGCAGCAGUGGGGAAUUUUGGACAAUGGGCGCAAGCCUGAUCCAGCCAUGCCGCGCGAGUGAAGAAGGCCUUCGGGUUGUAAAGCUCUUUCAGCCGGGAAGAAAAGGCUGCGACUAAUAAUCGCAGUUCAUGACGGUACCGGAAGAAGAAGCACCGGCUAACUACGUGCCAGCAGCCGCGGUAAUACGUAGGGUGCGAGCGUUAAUCGGAAUUACUGGGCGUAAAGGGUGCGCAGGCGGUUUUGUAAGUCAGAUGUGAAAUCCCCGGGCUUAACCUGGGAACU
rnacentral:rRNA from 1 species